rnacentral:rRNA from 1 species
GACGAACGCUGGCGGCGUGCUUAACACAUGCAAGUCGAACGGAAAGGCCCUGCUUGCAGGGUGCUCGAGUGGCGAACGGGUGAGUAACACGUGGGUGAUCUGCCCCUUACUUUGGGAUAAGCCUGGGAAACUGGGUCUAAUACUGGAUAGGACCAUGCUGUAGGUGGUGUGGUGGAAAGAUUAGUUUCGGUAAGGGAUGAGCUCGCGGCCUAUCAGCUUGUUGGCGGGGUAAUGGCCUACCAAGGCGUCGACGGGUAGCCGGCCUGAGAGGGUGGACGGCCACAUUGGGACUGAGAUACGGCCCAGACUCCUACGGGAGGCAGCAGUGGGGAAUAGUGCACAAUGGGCGCAAGCCUGAUGCAGCGACGCCGCGUGGGGGAUGACGGCCUUCGGGUUGUAAACUCCUUUCAGCCAUGACGAAGCCCUUGUGGUGACGGUAGUGGUAGAAGAAGCACCGGCUAACUACGUG